GCCGGGCGUGGUGGCGCACGCCUGUCAUCCCAGCGGCUUGGGAGGCUGAGACUGGAGGAUCGCAAUGGAGGAUCUGCAACGGCAAGGCUCUAAGCAACUCAGUGAGACCUUGUCUCGA
rnacentral:sRNA from 1 species